rnacentral:lncRNA from 1 species
AUGGACGGGAUCUCGAAAUGGACCAGACCUGCGGCGGGCACAGACGGGCGGUGUGAGGGGCUGCCAGGGGGGCACGGGCGGGUGCUGGCACACGGCGUGCUCCGACGGGCGGGCAGCGCUUGGUGCCACCGCCGGGGCGGCACACGGGGCCCCCAGCCUGGCCAGCUGCCUGUCCCCACUCCUGGAGGGACGUUGGGGUCCCUCAGCAGGCGGCACGAACACACCCAGGGGAGCGGAGGAAAGUCCUGGGCCCUGCUCCUGCAGCUGCCGGCUUGGGGACCCUGCCACAGGCGGCAGCACCCAGGGGAGCAGUGCCAGAGCGCAGGGACAGCUGGGCGCAGCGCUGGGGGGCACCAGGUAUGGGUGCUGUGCUGGGGGGCACCACACCUGGCUGCAGACCCACUGCAACGCCUGGGGUACCACGCUGGGGUGCGUUGUGGGGGCUGCACCGAGCCCCGGGCACAGCACCGGGGCGCAGCAGGGGGACGCAGCACGCCUGGGGACAGCCCGACCCCACUGCUGCAUGGUCCCCCCCCCGUCCCAUCCCCUCCGUGCCACCGGGCACAUCAAGGUGCUGCGUGUGGGGACACCCGGCUGCCAGCCACGCUGCGCCCCGCAGGACAUGCAGUGCCCCUGGGGCACCGAGCUGUGCCAGCACCACGUCCCCAGGCUGUCCCCACUUCCAAAGUGUCCCCUGUGAUUCCCAGGAUGGGGAAAUGCCAUCCUGCCACCAUGUCCUGCCACCCCUCGGGAGCCGAGCUGGGGACACCAUUGGGUGCCCGCUGCCACUUCGCUUCUCCAGGGCCGCCGGGCAGGAGGGGGCCAGCAGCACGAGGAAGCCAGAGCCAGGUGACAAAAGUGUCCUUGCUGGCAGGAUGGGGCUGGGGGCGCGCUCUCACCUGCCCCAUGCACCCACGGGUGGCAGUGGGGAGGGGGUGGCCCUUGGGGACAGCAGUGGUGGGGGACGGGGACAAAGAAACAGCGACAAGGUCAGGACACAGAGGACACAGCAGCAGAGCAUUGGGGCACUGCCCAGGGACACUGCCACCCUCCUGGGGACACAGCCAUCUUCUUGGGGACACUGCCACCUUCCACGGGGCAUUGCCACCUUCCUGGGGACACUGCCACUUUCAUAAGGACACUGAUCUUUCUGGGAACACUGCCACCUUCCCAGUGAUGUCACAACCUUCCUGA